rnacentral:lncRNA from 1 species
UCAGACUUUGUUUCCUUCCCUAUUUUUAUAAAUAAAAAAAGGCCUUAAGUUGGAGGCCAGAAUAUUUUCAUCUCCUCUUGAUGAAAGUACAAGGGUUCCUCUUUUGAGUUGAGAGGAGGUCACAAUCCUAAAUUCAAAGGGAAGGCAAGGAAAUCCAUGCAAUCGCUUAUUUACGAAAACAUUUUUGAUUUCUCGACCUGUUAUCUUUGCAAUUGUUGCUAUUAGCGUUUGUUUUGGUAUGUGUGUAGUCGUCCUCCACCCGCAGAGAGUUGUUGAGCUUGGGACGAGGUGUCUAUUCAAUAUCUUGUAUUGUCACAUAACUGAUCCAAAAUGUUUACCAUGUAGAAUUCGAGUUCAUUGCACAGGCAUAUCAACGCCACUUUCUUGACAUUGCCAAGUUGAGUACGAGCACAAAUGUAGCUUACGUGGAAGUUCUUGUAGUGUUGCUUCCAUCAACCUCGAGAAUCUAAAUCAGAUAUGAUAGAGAAGAGGAUUAUAGUUCCUGUUUUCAUAACCCAGUGUACCUCUCUACCUUUUGAUAUAUUGUAACUUUAUAGGUCAUUAGUUAUUUUGAAAAGUUAUUUUGGAUGAUAACUAAUUUGUUUUAAAUGAGAUGGCAGUGUUAAUAAUUUGUAGUAGUAAAUAUAAUACUUUGUGAUUUGUGUUUUGCAGAUCAAGA